rfam:Takifugu rubripes genomic scaffold, scaffold_371
AUGACUGAUUUCUUCUGGUGCUGAGAGUCGGCUGCAGCCUUCUAGCACCAUUUGAAAUCGGUUAU